rnacentral:rRNA from 1 species
GAGUAAUGCAUCGGAACGUGCCCAAUCGUGGGGGAUAACGCAGCGAAAGCUGUGCUAAUACCGCAUACGAUCUACGGAUGAAAGCGGGGGACUCGCAAGAGCCUCGCGCGAUUGGAGCGGCUGAUAUCAGAUUAGGUAGUUGGUGGGGUAAAAGCCUACCAAGCCUGCGAUCUGUAGCUGGUCUGAGAGGACGACCAGCCACACUGGAACUGAGACACGGUCCAGACUCC